rnacentral:rRNA from 1 species
GACGAACGCUGGCGGCGCGCUUAACACAUGCAAGUCGAGCGAAGCGGCGGACGGGUGAGCAACACGUGAGUAACCUGCCUUAGACAUUGGGAUAGCCUCGGGAAACCGGGAUUAAUACCAAAUGGUCUAAGAUGGACUCGCGUCCCAUUAGCUAGUUGGUGGGUAACGGCCCACCAAGGCGACGAUGGGUAGCCGGCCUAAGAAGCUGGACAGCCACAUUUGAACUGAGAACCGGUCCAAACUCUGCGGUGGGCAGCAGUGGUGAAUAUUGCACAAUGGAGUGAUCUCUGGUACAGCGGCGCCGCUUAAGCGUAGAAGGCUUUCGGGUCGUAAGUUACUUUUAUAUGAAAAGCGGUACCAUAAGAAAAAGCCCCGGCUAACUACGUGCCAGCAGCCGCGGUAAUAC